UUACCCAACUUUUCACCAAGCAGAGUGAAAACAAUCAGAGGACUCUCUCUUUUAUUAUUUCUAUUUUUUAAAACCAUAAUGUUGUUAUUUACUUUUGUUGUUUUUCUAAUACAUUAUAUUUAUAGAUUUUAUGGUUUUCCACCUGGGUCUUAUACUAUGAAUAUACAUCAUAAAAAUAUUAAUUAUUGCAUUUGAUUGCAAUUAUUGCAGCUGAUGAUCUUAACUAAAGAGAGAGAUAACGAUAAACCGCUUCCAUAUUUAUUAUUUACAAAUUAUUUAUACAAAUGUUCACUUUCACAAUGACCAACAGUUCUCCCCUAAAAAGUUUUAUCAAAAGUCAGUGUAUUUAUUUAAGGAGACAGCUGUCAGUGAAGGGUUUGAGAUGAUGUGUGAGACAAUGCAAUGUGUAAAGAAAACAAAUGUAAAUAUAAUAUAAAAUAAAAAUCAAGGUAUUUUACACAAUACAUUUGAGAAGUGAUGGAAAUUAUCCUGAUCAUCGGGGGGAAAGGACAGAAUUAUAUGCAUGUAUAGACACUGUUGACAUUAUAACAGACAAAUAAACUUGUCAGAGUGUGAAAAGUGUUUUAAAAGAGUUCAUUUCCAAAUGUCCACAAGGUUCAAAUUGCCAGUAUUUUAAGAAACACACAUAGAUGAAAUAUGAAGCAAACUUUAACUAACACAUUAAGUACAGUGGUUUGUAUUAAAAGCAGUUGGUUUUGACAAUAUUACAGACUUUCUUCAUAUUCUUUCUAACUAUUUUAAUGUAUUUUAUUGCAUUGUUAAAUGUAUUAUAUUACAUAGUAAACAAAUCCUCUCUCUUUUCAGUUUCACACAAUGGAACACAAGAAACUUCCUCUUUUCCAGUGAAAAUCAUUGCCAUAUCAGUUGGUUCUACAUGUAUUUUUUUUUUUGUUGUAUCUCUGGCCGUGGUUUACAUACUCCGCAGAAAGCUUUACGACUUAAGUGCACUGAAGAUGCUUUGCUGCAAAUCUAAAAUCUCAACACCAUCUGAAGACAAACCACCCCAACAUACGUCUGUGUGUAUGAAGCCCGCUGAUGUUGAAGAGGUGGAACCCUAUGCAAGCUACAUACAGAGAGUCAACUCCAUCUACAACUCCUCAGCUGAGCUCUUCAACGCCUGA
ensembl:lncRNA